GUGAAAUUACAAGUCAGCAGUUGGACCAAGGGGUUUGGCAGUGUGGGGGUUGCUGUGGGGGAUGGAGGGCAGGAGGAAGAGGAGGGUGCCCUACUAUUCUGGAUAGGAUACCCACUGGACUACCUCUUCCUCCCUUUUGACUUACCAGAUUGGCCAAGUAGUGUCUUAAUAUGGCCAAUAUAUCCUCUGGGCUCAUCUGUCCCAUCUUUUCCAGCAAACCAUGGACCUGUGGGGAUAUUGAAUUCCUCUCAGCACAGCCUCAUCGCUACCCACCCCCCUACUUACAACCAUGAGCAGACGAAUAUGCCUGGCCCUGGGAACAGAGCCAAGUGUGGCCAGGCUGGCAUCUCCCCGGGCGGCCACCUCGCCUGAGGAAGCCACGGAACCCCGGCGGCCACCUCGCCUGAGGAAGCCAAGGAACCCCGGCGGCCACCUCGCCUGAGGAAGCCAAGGAACCCCGGCGGCCACCUCGCCUGAGGAAGCCAAGGAGCCCUGGGCGGCCACCUCACCUGAGGAAGCCACGGAACCCCGGCGGCCACCUCACCUGAGGAAGCCACGGAACCCCGGCGGCCACCUCGCCUGAGGAAGCCAAGGAACCCGGGCGGUACGGCCUGUGACCACUAUCACAUGCCCGCGGGCCCCCGGGCUGACCCCUCUUGGGGGUGGCAGCGCCGGUCACCAGAGAGCCCCCAUGGAUCCAUACCGUGACCUGCAGGGAGGUCACGGGACAGUGACGCCCAGCUCCUGGGACACCGGCUGCCCUCCCUCCAACCCCGGGCGUUCUUGGGACCCCUGAGGCAGUUUGAGAAGCAGGCUGGGGAGGGGACGGGCCGGGCGGGCGGUGGAGGCUGAGGCCCCGGCAGUCCUCCCAAACAGGCAAGAGCUGCGGCUUUCCAUUCCGCGGAAGUUUGCUGUGGUCCGUCUCUCCGGGUCCUGCGGCGCCUGCGGCCAAGGAGGAGCCCAAGGAGGAGCCCGGGGCCCAGCCGGUCCGCAGCAGCCCCGCCCCCGG
rnacentral:lncRNA from 1 species